UCCCACCCCGGAUCGGGUCACCGCCUGGAUCUAGUCACCAAACGACGCCGUUUUGAAGCUAUUACGCUAGCAUCCAACGACGACGUUUUAGUCCCGUGUUUAAAACCUAAAUAAACCUAAAAAAUCUAACACCCUCACUUAAAAACUAAACCUAAACUCUCCCCUUUGCGCUGCUCGCCGAAUCGUCGUUCAUCAACUCCAAACCUCCGUUCGACCCCGAUUACGACGAAGAGAACAAAGAUCUGGCCUCCAGGUACGGAGGCCAGCUAGCGUAUGGAGGCAGCGGACGUGGCACCACACGCAUGGGGAGAGGUGUGCGUGGCAGCGGCGCAGGAGGCUCCUGCUGCUGUUAGGGUUUUCGGUGUUUGGGGCUGAGUUGGGUUUUAGGCUGGGCUAGAGUUUUGGAUUAGGGUUAGGUGACUUGGGUCUUUUGUAUUGGGUCAGGGUAGAAUUUGGCUGGUGUUAGGCUAUACAUUGGGUUAGUUUGUAUUGGGCCUAAAGUCUGUAAAUGGACAUGUAAAAUGGACUACUUAUUGUUUUUUUUUAUUUGGUUUAUCUGUGUUUGUGCUUUUGGGCCCGGGCAAAUUGGGCCUAUUACAGGUAUGAUAUUUCAAACAUUUUUAUA